rnacentral:misc_RNA from 1 species
UAAUAAGUGUUUUAUGGCACUUUUUAAAUCCAUAUCCACCUUGUGUGCAAUGUCAGUCGAUCUUCUUCAUGGAGAUCGACCAAACAUCAACCUUUAUCUUUUAACUCUUUGUCUGAAAAAUAUAUUUUAUUUGAAUUAAUAACAAUUCAAAAUA